rnacentral:rRNA from 1 species
GAUGAACGCUGGCGGCGUGCCUAAUACAUGCAAGUCGAACGAGGUCUUCGGACCUAGUGGCGAACGGGUGAGUAACACGUUGGUACCUACCCCGAAGUGGGGAAUAACUGCCCGAAAGGGUGGCUAAUACCGCAUAAUACCGCAAGGUUAAAGCAGUAAUGCGCUUCGGGAGGGGCCUGCGUCCCAUUAGCUAGUUGGUAGGGUAAUGGCCUACCAAGGCGACGAUGGGUAGCUGGAUCGAGAGGUUGACCAGCCACACUGGGACUGAGAUACGGACCAGACUCCUACGGGAGGCAGCAGUAAGGAAUCUUCCACAAUGGACGAGAGUCUGAUGGAGCAACGCCGCGUGCAGGAUGACGGCCUUCGGGUUGUAAACUGCUUUUAUACGGGAAGAUUAUGACGGUACCGUAUGAAUAAGGACCGGCUAACUACGUGCCAGCCGCCGCAGUAA